UACGGAGGGAGCUAGCGUUAUUCGGAAUUACUGGGCGUAAAGCGCACGUAGGCGGCUUUGUAAGUAAGAGGUGAAAGCCCAGAGCUCAACUCUGGAAUUGCCUUUAGACUGCAUCGCUUGAAUCAUGGAGAGGUCAGUGGAAUUCCGAGUGUAGAGGUGAAAUUCGUAGAUAUUCGGAAGAACACCAGUGGCGAAGGCGACUGACUGGACAAGUAUUGACGCUGAGGUGCGAAAGCGUGGGG
rnacentral:rRNA from 1 species